AACGAACGCUGGCGGCAUGCCUAAUACAUGCAAGUCGAACGAGAUCUUCGGAUCUAGUGGCGCACGGGUGCGUAACGCGUGGGAAUCUGCCCUUGGGUUCGGAAUAACGUCGGGAAACUGACGCUAAUACCGGAUGAUGACGAAAGUCCAAAGAUUUAUCGCCCAGGGAUGAGCCCGCGUAGGAUUAGCUAGUUGGUGAGGUAAAGGCUCACCAAGGCUACGAUCCUUAGCUGGUCUGAGAGGAUGAUCAGCCACACUGGGACUGAGACACGGCCCAGACUCCUACGGGAGGCAGCAGUAGGGAAUAUUGGACAAUGGGGGCAACCCUGAUCCAGCAAUGCCGCGUGAGUGAUGAAGGCCUUAGGGUUGUAAAGCUCUUUUACCCGAGAUGAUAAUGACAGUAUCGGGAGAAUAAGCUCCGGCUAACUCCGUGCCAGCAGCCGCGGUAAUACGGAGGGAGCUAGCGUUGUUCGGAAUUACUGGGCGUAAAGCGCACGUAGGCGGCGAUUUAAGUCAGAGGUGAAAGCCCGGGGCUCAACCCCGGAACUGCCUUUGAGACUGGAUUGCUUGAAUCCUGGAGAGGUGAGUGGAAUUCCGAGUGUAGAGGUGAAAUUCGUAGAUAUUCGGAAGAACACCAGUGGCGAAGGCGGCUCACUGGACAGGUAUUGACGCUGAGGUGCGAAAGCGUGGGGAGCAAACAGG
rnacentral:rRNA from 1 species